GAUGAACGCUAGCGGCAGGCUUAACACAUGCAAGUCGAGGGGUAGAAGGAGCUUGCUCCUUUGAGACCGGCGCACGGGUGCGUAACGCGUAUGCAAUCUACCUUUUGCAGAGGGAUAGCCCAGAGAAAUUUGGAUUAAUACCUCAUAGUAUGUGAGGAUGGCAUCAUUUUCACAUUAAAGUCACAACGGCAAAAGAUGAGCAUGCGUCCCAUUAGCUAGUUGGUAAGGUAACGGCUUACCAAGGCUACGAUGGGUAGGGGUCCUGAGAGGGAGAUCCCCCACACUGGUACUGAGACACGGACCAGACUCCUACGGGAGGCAGCAGUGAGGAAUAUUGGACAAUGGGCGCAAGCCUGAUCCAGCCAUGCCGCGUGCAGGAUGACGGUCCUAUGGAUUGUAAACUGCUUUAUACAGGAAGAAACCCUCCCACGUGUGGGAGCUUGACGGUACUGUAGGAAUAAGGAUCGGCUAACUCCGUG
rnacentral:rRNA from 1 species